rnacentral:rRNA from 1 species
GACGAACGCUGGCGGCGUGCUUAACACAUGCAAGUCGAACGGAAAGGCCCUGCUUUUGUGGGGUGCUCGAGUGGCGAACGGGUGAGUAACACGUGAGUAACCUGCCCUUGACUUUGGGAUAACUUCAGGAAACUGGGGCUAAUACCGGAUAGGAGCUCCUGCUGCAUGGUGGGGGUUGGAAAGUUUCGGCGGUUGGGGAUGGACUCGCGGCUUAUCAGCUUGUUGGUGGGGUAGUGGCUUACCAAGGCUUUGACGGGUAGCAGGCAUGAGAGGGUGACCGGCCACAUUGGGACUGAGAUACGGCACAGAGUGCUACGGGGGGCAGGAGUGGGGAAUAUUGCACAAUGGGAGGAAGCCUGAUGCAGCAACGCCGCGUGCGGGAUGACGGCCUUCGGGUUGUAAACCGCUUUCGCCUGUGACGAAGCGUGAGUGACGGUAAUGGGUAAAGAAGCACCGGCUAACUACGUG